rnacentral:lncRNA from 1 species
GCUGCUAUUAGUGUGCUAGGAUAACUUGGUACGGUCGGAAACCUGAGCCUCCGAACCUAUGAUAUGAAACAUCAUAGUGAAAUAAAAGAGAUACGAUCAAUACUUUGAAUGUACUAGUAUGCUAAAUAAGGUAGGCUAAUAUGCAUGGUUUCAUGAAUAUGAAUAAUAAUUGUCUGAAUAUAUAUAUGUUAGUAUAUGUAACGUGUAAUACUAAAUAAAGUACAUAAAAUUUUUAAGUACUAAGGAUGUAUGACCAAGGAUAUAUAACAUUUUCUGAAUAAAAUUUGUAAAUACUAAAAUAAUGAAAUCUGAUAACUGAAUGUCGGAUAUCUGUAUGCUAUGGUCAAGCAAACUAAAACUGAAUUAUUGAACUAAUUACUGGACUGAGGCUGUAACUAAAACUGUGGGAGGUAUCAUCUAACCGAUAUGCCCCGCUCUAAACUGAUUGGGGUCAAACCUGUAACCCCAGUUGAAAGAGUGCUAGUACCGUGCCACAGGUACUAACAAUGGAUGUGGAGUCAGUCCUAACUAACGGAUGACCCCUGAGAUCAAUCCUAACUAGAGAGUGAUCCUUGAGAGUGCUAGACCUAACUAACUGGUGACAUCUCAUAACCUACGCUGGCUACGUAGUUCUGGAACUUAGAACUUGCUUCUAAGGAUCCAGUCCUAACUAACGGGUGAUCUCUCAUCCCUAGGCUUUCUCAGUGCUGAAUCCUACACCCAAUUGAACUGACAAUGAUUACGGGACUGGGCUAAGAUUAACUGGACAAGUAACUAAUCACGAUGGCUAACUGGAUGAAUAUGCUCAUACGCAUCUGAAACUAUUCUGAAACUACUAAGACUAAGUAAGCAGCUAAAUUUUGGGUAUUCAUAACCCCCAGGACUCAAUAACAAUAACAACAUGGUCAGGAAAUCUUUGAAACCAUGGAAGGAAAUGAUUGUUCACAAUUAUUCACUCAAGUAUUUCAUCAAAUACAUGAGGACCAAGACUUUAACAAGAGGAUAUCUCUAGACAUGAUGAGGUAGCAAGAUCACAUGAAAAAAAUCAUAAGCUAAGGAUUUAUUCCAAAUUUCUCAUGAACAUGAUAUAGAAAUCAUAAUAUUUAAAACAUACUAUAAUGUAUUCCACUUGAAAACAAAUUUAAAAAUUUUAACUUGUAAGCAUAUAAUAAGUCGUAAUUGUUCAAAACCCACUCAUUUAGGUAUUUCAUCAAACACUUGCAGUUCAUGAUUUAAACUAAGCAUGGUAAUAGUUUUUAAAAACUUGUAGUAAUAGCAUGAUUUCACUUCUAAGAUCACCAAUUAGGGUUUAAAUUCAACAAACAACACCAUUUAAAUAUGUAAGGUUUAAUAUCACCUACAAUUUUAUGAAAACAUGAUAAAGAUUCAAAAUUAAUGUAAGUUCAUGGACAUAAUUCAUGAAAUUUAUAAUAAGGGUUCCUUUCAAUGAAAAUAGAUUGUAAGAUCAUGUAUAAGCAAAAUCAUAAAAUCUUAGAGACAAAUCAUUAUAAACGUGAAAUUUCGUGAAUUUAAACAUGAGAUUCUUGGACUCCAUGAGUUAAAAGGACCCAUGGAUGAACAUCUAACAUACCUCAAAAGCUUGAAUCUUGAAAUAGGGUAACUUUUCUUGAAGGUUGUUGGAUGGUGACGCUUUGAUUCUUGAGUUUUCUUGAAGAAGAGCUUGAAUCUUGUUCUUGGGAGAGGAACCCUAAUUUUGAUGCUAUAGAUAAAUAUGAAGUUAUGUGCUUUGAUUUGAUGUAAUUACAUGUUUAAAAGGAUGGGAAAAGACCAAAAAAUCCCUUUAAAAAUGGCUUUAAAUCGCUAAAUGGAGGUGCGGCAUGGUUUGGGCGACAAACCAUCACCUUGGGGGUUGACCGUCCCUCAAACCAUCACUUUAUGGCUAGAAUAUAGGCUUACUGCCUCAGUUGCGAUGGUUUGGGAAACUUUUCAUUGCUGGCGCAAUGGUUCAUUGGCCUUCCCGUCGCACAUUGGCAGUUCGGACAGCUCACUGUAAAACGGCUAUAACUUUUACCCCGAUAUUGGAUUUUUGGCAAAAUUGGUAUCGUUGGAAAGCUAAUUCAAUUAUCGAUUUGUUAGUAGGUCAUGAGCUCAAAAAUUCAUGGUAUAACAAAAUAUAUGCUUGUUUUAAGUUGACUCUAGCAAUAUCCUUCUCAAGAAUUCAAUCAGUAAGAUGUGUUGAUUUGCCUAAUAUCUAGGACUAUUUGAGGCCUUAAUACACAUAAAACUUGAUCAUAAAACUAUCAAAUCACUAAAACUUAUUUCUCAUGAGCUUGAAGCAUGGUUCUACUAUCGAUUGGGAUUCACGGGAUAUUACAAUCAGGUUCCCAAGUGGACACCUCUAGAUUGAAAACUAUUAGACAGCUAACGUUCCAAUAAACUUUCGUACUUCCAAUACUUCAUUUACAGUUGAUAAAUAGGGGACGAUACAUCCUCGAAACCCCAAACAGUUUACAUAUUCAAAUGGAAGUAUGCCAUGAAAUGCAACUGUUUAAAUUUUGCAAAAAUUUAAAUACAUAAGCAAACAAACAAUUAAACAGUAAAGACCCAAAUAGUUAGUCAAAUAAGUUAGUUCAAAAAUUUUGUUAGAACCUAAUUAAAUCUUCGAUAGAGUCUCCAUUUUUGUUUUAUCCUUUUUGGAUUUCAUUUUAUAAAAAGAAAAUGGUUUGGGCCUUCUUUAAAACUAUUUCAAAAGAUUCAAGAAACUUUGUAAUAAUUUUUAAGAAAUUCAUAGAGUCGCCACUUGAUUUUUAUAGAAAAAAUCAAGAAAAACUUAAAAGAGUUUCAAAAAUAGAAAUAAACCUUUAAAACUAGAGAAACUGGGUAAGGGUUUAAUUAACACCGUAAGAAGGUUUUUAAGGCACUUAGGAGCGUCCGUUUAAAACGGUUUACCAAAAAGAACUAACUUGACUAACUAAAAUGGUUAAUUUUUGCAAAGAUUUGAUUUUAUAGAAAAUAUUAAAAUUAUUUUUCUAAAUAUUUAGAAUGACAUUUAUUUAUUCAAAGGAGAAACAUUCUAAUUGGAUCAAAAUAAGUUGAAAUUUUUCUUUGAAUUUCAAGAGGAAAAUAUUUUUCAUUUUUAUGGAAAAGAAGAAGAUUGUAUAGUUAAUUUUGUAAUAGAAAAUGCAUUUGUAAGAAAUGCUAAGAGAGUGUUAAAAGUUCUUUGCUAACUUUUUGAAAAGUUGAUUUUCAAAACAAAUUAGUUUCUUAGAUUUGAAAAAAAUUAAUUUGAUCUAAAACAAACUAUUAGUUAUCUAAACCAGACAAAUAAAAUACUUAAUCUUUAAAAGACUAGUUUUAAGGAGAAAAUUGAAGGAACCAAUUUAAUCUGCCUUAAACAAUAUAGAUUAGGUGGAAAAUCUUGAAUUAAGUAAAAUAAAACUAAGAUAAAAUAAAAUGACAACAUCUUAGAAAAUUUACCUAGAUUAAUUGAUUUACUGUAAUACCCCACAUUUCAAGAUCACUGUGCAACGUAUGAAUCUUUUCCUUAAAUUGUAUACACAACAUCUGAGUCGUAAUUGUAGUCGUAUCUAUGACAGUGUGAAAUGGUGUAAUACACCAUAUUAUUCGUAGCUCAUUUCAGCUCCUAGAUGAAAGCAUAAGAGGCUUAAAACCUGAAAAUUUCACUACUGAAAAUUCACCAAGUGUUGGGGACUUAGUUAUUUUUAAGGCCUCUUAACUUCGAGGAUUUUUAAAUUGGUCUUCUCGACCUUGAGACAUUGGUUUUUGAGUUAAUUCAUAUUUAGGGGUGUAAUAAGGAUGUCUCAGGAAAGUUUUGGAUUUUUCAGACAGGGGUGAUGUUUGGAUCAAGAUUCUAACAGUUGACCGCGAUAGUGUCGCGUUGCGGUUCCAGCGGCGAUGGCACUCUCAUCGCAUCAUGGUGACCCUAUAAACAGCAUUCCAGUUACGAAUUUAAUUGCCUGAGGGGCAAUUAUAUCUUUUUCCCUCAACCCAGUUCAUCAAAUCACAAAUUAUAUCAUCAGUUAAGGCAUUAUUUAUCCACAUUCUUUAAUUCUCCUCUCAAAGCAACCCUAGUCAUCCCCAAAGAUCAUUAAAUUCCGUUACUUUCUCUCCAAGGAAACUUAGAAUUCAAGUUUCCAAAUCCAAGAACCUUCAAUAAAGUUUCAAGAUUGGCAUUUUCCUUUCAAGCUUAAGAGCUUAAGGUAUGUGUGAUGUUCAUCCAUCAGCCCUUUUCACUCAUGGAGUCCAAGAAUUCCUUUAUAUUUUUAAAUUAUGAGUUUUUACAUGUUCAAGUUGAAUUAUCUCCAAGAAACUAUUAUUGAUUUUUAUUUUGAGUUAAGUUUACAAGUGUUUUCGAAGAGAUGAGCCAUUACAUGUUUUGAAUAUUGAAACCUUCAUAUUGAAAUAUCUAAUUCAUGGUUUUAGUAUUGUAGUGAUGCUAUUAUCGCAUGCUCUACCCAUUCCCAUGCUUAAAUUCAUAACUCUCAUACGUUUGAUGAAAUGUCUAAAUGUUGGGUUUGGAGAAAUGAUCCCCUACUAUGGUUUUAAAGCUUUAUAUGUCAUCAUUGUUAUUUUCAAUCAUUGUUGAUAGAUUAUGAACACCUGAUACCUAAUUGUAUACAUAAUUUCAGUAUCUUCAGAAUAGUUUUAGAUAAACUACGAGCAUUGUUAUUCAGUCAGUUAUUUAUGAUCAGUUGUUUGUUCAGUUAAGCUUCACUCAGUCCAGUAAUCAGUGUCAGUUCAGUUGGGAGUAGGAUUUAGAACAGAGCAAACCUACGGAUGGAGUCUCAUGCAUCAGUUAGUAUUGGUUCCUUAGCAGCAGUCUCUAAGUUCCAAAACUAUGUAGCCAGCGUAGGAUUAUGAGAUGUCUCCCUCCAUUUUAUGUAAGACCCCGUAUUUUUAGGCUAGUCUUUGACCCAUUGUUCCUACAUGUAUUUCUACCUGUAUAAGUUAUAAUCCAAAUGAUUCUUAUGUGAAUAUAAGUUUUAUGAUCUUUAUCCUUAUGUUUUAUGUGCUUUCGAAGUGAAAAAUGUUCAUAAGAAUCACUUAGAACAAAGUUGAUCUUAGAGCCUAAAAUUUGUCCAAAGUUUGGUAUUCGAUUCUACAAGGGUAAACUUUGAAUGUGUAUAACUUUUGAUAUACGUGGAAUUUUUUAGCUCAAGACCCACCAAAUAGUAAGGUCAUUGGGGACGAAGGGGUGGUUUAGGUGGUCAAACUGGCGAAACGGCGUGAAUGUGCCAUUUUUGGGCUAAAUUAGUGUGCUAUACCCGACGAUUUUUGGGGUGGGCCUAGGGGCCGGGCGUGAUUUUGGUCAAAAAUCGAUCGAGCUGCCCCAAGCAGGCUGGGAAGUGGCCUAGUGUUGGCCAUUGGGGUAGGUAAGGUGGUUUGGGUGGUCGAACAGGCAAAACAGUACGAAUGGGCCAUUUUCAAGCCAAAUCGGUGUGCUAUAGUCCACGGUUUUUAGGGUGUGCCCGUGACCGGGCAUGAUUUUAGCAAAAAAUUGAUCGAACUACCCCCAAGUAGGCUGGGAAGCAACCUAAUAUGGGCAAUUAGGGUGGACAGGGCGAUUUAGGUGGUCAAACGGGCGAAAAGUCAUGAAUGGGCCAUUUUUGGGCCAAAUCGAUAUGCUAUAACCCACGGUUUUUGAGGUAUGUUAGGGGGCUGAGCAUGAUUUUGCCAAAAAUCAACCACGCUACCUCGAGCAGGAUGGGAAGUUGGCUAGUGUUGGUCAUUAGGGGGUUUGGGUUGUCAAACGAGCAAAACGACAUAAAUGAGCCAUUUUUGGGUCAAAUCAGUGUGCUAUAGCCCAUAGUUUCGGGGUGGGCCAGGUUCCAAGCGAUAUUUUGGUCAAAAAUUGAUUGGGAUACCCCAGGAAGGCUGGAGAGAGGCCUAGUAUGGGAUAUUAGGUUAGGCAAGGCCAUUUGGCUGGUUAAACAAGCUAAACAGUGUGAACAAACCAUUUUUUUAGCUAAAUCGGUAUGUUAUAGCCCAUGGUUUUUUUGGUGGGCUCGGGGUCGAGUGUAAUUUUUGCUGAAAAUCUACUGGGAUACCCCAGAAAGGCUAGAAAGCAUCCUAGUGUGGGCCAUUCGGGUGGGCAGGGCGAUUUAGGCGGUCAAACGGGAAAACGGUGUGAAAAAACCAUUUUUGGGCUAAAUCGGUGUGCUAUAGCCCACGAUUUUUGUAGUGGGCCCGAGAGAAGGGUAUUAUUUUGGACAAAAAUUGAUUGAGCUUUAUCGAAAAGGCUGGAGAGCAGCCUAGUAUGGGCCAUUGGAGUGGGCAGGGUAGUUUGGGUGGUCAAACUGACAAAAUGAUGUGAACGAAAAUUUUUUAGGAAAAAUCGAUGUGCUAUAGCCCACUAUUUUUAGGGUGAGCUCGGGGACUAGGCGUGACUUUGGCAGAAAAUAGAUCGGGCUACCCCAGGCAGGCUGAGGAGCAGCCUAGUAUAGGCCAUUAGGGCAGGGCAAUUUGGGUGGUCAAACAGGCAAAAUGGAGUGAACAAGCUAUUUUUGAGCUAAAUCGGAGUGUUAUAGCUCGGGGUUUUCAAGGUGGACUCACGGGCCAAGUGUGAUUUUGGUCAAAAAUGACUGAGAUCCCCUAGGUAGGUUAAAGAGCGACCAAAUGUGUGCCAUUGGGGUGGGCGGGGGGCCGAGUAUGAUUUUGGCCAAAAAUUGAUCGGGCUACCUCGGGCAGGAUAACGAGUAUCCUAGUAUGGGUUAUUAGGGUAGGAGAGGGGUUUGGGUGGUCAAACGGAUAAAACAGCACGAAUGGGCUAUUUUUGGACAAAAUUAAUUUGUUAUAGCCCAUGGUUUUUAGGGUGAACCGGGGCGUGAUUUUGGGGUGAGCCAUAGCCGGGGAGUGGCCUAGUGUGGGUCAUUAGUGUGGGUGGGUUAGUUUGGGUGGUCAAAAGAGAAAAACAGCAUGAACGGGCCAUUUUUGUGCUAAAUCGGUGUGUUAUAGCCUGUGGUUUUGGGGAAGACCUGGGGGCUGGGCUUCAUUUUGGCCAAAAAUUGAUCGAACUACUUGAGGCAGGCUGGGAAGAGUUUUAACGUGGGACAUUGGGGCAGUCGGGGUGGUUUGAGUGGUCAAACGAGAAAAAUAGUUAUAGCCCAUAAUUUUUUAGGUGGGCACGGGGGCCGAGCGUGAUUUUGGUAGAAAAUUGACUAGUCUGUCCCAAGCAGUCUAAGGAAUAACCUAGUGUAGGCUAUUGGGAUGGGUGGGGUGGUUUCUGUGGUCAAACGGACGAAACAGUGUGAACGAGCCAUUUUGGGCCAAAUAGGUGUGCUACAAUCGACAAUUUUUGUGGUGGGUCUUGGGUUCGAGCGUUAUCUUUUGGUAAAAAUUGACUAGGCUACACUAGGAAGGCUGAGGAAUGGCCUAGUAUGGGCCAGUGGGGUAGGCGGGGGGGUUUGGGUGGUCAAGCAGGCGAAAUGGUGCGAACGGGCCAUUUACGAGCAAACUUAGUGUGCUAUUGCCCAUGAUUUUUGGGGUGGGCCUGGUGAUCGAGCGUGAUUUUUUCCAAAAAUCAACCGGGUUGUCCCAAGAAGGUUGAGAAGCUGCUAAGUGUGGGUCAUUAGGGUGGGCGAGGGGAUUUAGGUGGUAAAACGGGCAAAACAGUACGAAUGGGCCAUUUGCGGGCCAAAUCAAUGUGCUAUAGCCCACAGUUUUUAGGGUGGUCCUGGGUGACGGCGGUGAUUUUCGCUAAAAAUUGAUCGGGCUGCUCCAGGUAGGCUGGGGAGUGACCUAGUAUAGGCCAUUAGGGUGAGAAAGGCGGUUUGGGUGGUCAAACGGGAGAAAUGGCGUGAACGCGCAAUUUUCAGGCCAAAUCGGUGUCCUAUAGCCCAUGGUUUUCGUGUUUAGCCCGAGAUCAAGGCGUGAUGAUGGUCAAAAAUUGAUCGAGCUACCCCAGGCAGGCUAAGAAGCAGCCUAAUAUGGGCCAUUGGUGUGGGCAGGGCAGUUUGGGUGGUCAAACGGGCGAAACGGUAUGAAGGGGCCACUUUUGGGCUAAAUUGGUGUGCUAUAGCCUACGAUUUUUAGGGUGGGCCCAUGGGCCAGAUGUGAUUUUUGCUUAAAAUCGACCAGGCUUCCCCAGGCGGGAUGGGGAGCAACCUAGUAUGGGACAUUAGAGUGGAUGGGCCGAUUUGAUGGUCAAACGAGCAAAACGGCAAAAAAGGGGCAUAUUCGUGCCAAAUCGAUGUGCUAUAGCCCAUGGUUUUCAAAGUGCGCCCAGGGGUCGGGCACUAUUUUUGUUGAAAAUCGAUUAGCCAACCCCAUGAAGGAUAGGAAACACCAUAGUGUGGGGCAUUGGGGUGGGCAUGGCGGUUUGGGAGGUCAAACAGGAAAAACGGCGAGAACGAGGCCCUUUUGAGCUAAUCGGUGUGCUAUAGCCUACUAUUUUUGGGGUGGGCUUAGGGGAGGGUGUGAUUUUGGCCAAAAAUCAACCAAGCUGCCACAGGCAGGCUGGGGAGUAGCCUAGUAUGGUCCAUUGGGGUAGGGUAAGGCGGUUUGAGUGGUCAAACGGGCAAAACAGUGUGAACAGGCCAUUUUUUUGCCAAACAGGCGAAACGAUGCGAACAGGUUGUUUUCGGUUCAAAUUAGGAUGCUAUAUCCUAUGGUUUUUAGGGUGGGCCUAGGGUCGAGCGUGAUUUUGGCCAAAAAUUGAUCGAUAUUCCCCAGGCAGGCUUGGGACCAACCUAGUAUAGGCGAUUGGGGUGGGUGGGGUAAUUUAGGUGGUUAAACGGGAAAAACGGCAUGAACAGGCCAUUUUUGGGCCAAAUCAGUAUGCUAUAACCCACGAUUUUUGUGGUGGGCCAGGGGGCCAAGUGUGACUUUGGCCAAAAAUUGACAGGGCUGCUCCAGGCAGGUUAAGGAGUGGCCUAUUAUGGGCCAUUAAGAUGGGAGAGGCAGUUUGGGUGGUCAAACAAGUAAAACGGCGCGAAUGGGCCAUUUUUUUUAGCUAAAUCGGUGUGCUAUAGACCACAGUUUUUAUGAUGGGCCCAGGAUUUAAGCGUGCUUUUGGUCGAAAAUCGAUCGAUCUGCACUAAAAAGGUUAGGGACCAGCCUAAUAUGGGCCAGUGGGGUGGGCGGCGUAGUUUGGGUGGUCAUACAAGUAAAACGGCAUGAACGAGCCAUUUUUGUACCAAAUUAGAGUGUUAUAGCCUACAGUUUUCGGGUUGGGCCUAAGGGCCAGGCGUGAUUUUUGUCAAAAAAUCGAUCGGACUACCCCACGAAAGUUGGGGAGUGGCCUAGUCUGGGCCAUUGGGUUUGGCGGGGCAGUUUGGGUGGUCAAACGGGCAAAACAGCAUAAACAGGCCAUUUUUGGCCAAAUAUGUGUGGUAUAGCCCACGGUUUUUGGGGUAGGCCUGGGACUCGAACAUGAUUUUGGGUAAAAAUCGAUCGGGCUGCCACUAGCAGACUGAAAAGUUGCCUAGCAUGGUUCAUUGGGGUAGGUGGGGCAGUUUGUAUGGUCAAAUGGGUAAAACAGCGUGAACAGACCAUUUUUGUGUGAAAUUGGUGUGCUUAGCCCAGGUUUUUUGAUGUGGCCUCGGAGACCAGGCAUGAUUUUUGCUAAAAAUUGUCAUAUCUUCUCAGACAAGUUGAAGAGCAGCCUAGUGUAGGCCAUUGGGGUGGGCGGGGCGAUUUGGGUGGUCAAACGGGCAAAACGGUGCAAACAGAUUGUUUUUAGGCUAAAUUGAUGUGCUAUAGCCAACGAUUUUUGGGGUGGGCCAGGGGUCUAGUAUGAUUUUUUCCAAAAAUUUACAGGGCUGCUCCAAGCAGGCUGAGGAGUGGACUAGUGUGGGCCAUUGGAGUGUGCGGGGCAGUUUGUGUGGUCAAAUGGGCGAAACGGCACAAAUAAACCAUUUUCGGGCCAAAUUGAUGUGUUAUAGCCCCCAAUUUUUAGGAAACGCUUAGGGUCGACAUGAUUUUGGUAGAAAAUCCACAAGGCUACCCCAGGUGGGCUGGGGAGCGGCCUAGUUAGGCCAUUGGUGUGGGCGGGGCGGUUUGGGUGGUCAAACGGGCAAAACGGCGCAAACAAAUCAUUUUUGGGCUAAAUCAAUAUGUUAUAGCCCAAGAUUUUUAGGGUGGCUAUAGGCCGGGCAUUAUUAUUUCCGAAAGUCAACACGACUGCCCUAGGUAGGCUGGAGAGAAGCCUAGUAAAGGCUAUUAUAGUGAGAGAGGCAGUUUGGGUGAUUAAACAGGAGAAAUGGUGUGAAUGGGCCAUUUUCGAGCCAAAAAGUAUGCAAUAGCCCACGUUUUUGGGGGUGGGCCCGAGGCCAAGCAUGGUUUUGGCCAAAAAUCAACUGGGCUACCAUAAGUAGGCUUAAGAGCGGCCUAGUAUGGGCCAUUGGGGUAGGCAGGGUGGUGUGGGUUGUCAAAUAGUGCUAACAGGCAAUUUUUGGGCCAAAUUAGUGUGCUAUAGCCCACGUCUUUUGGGGUAGCCCCAAGCCCGAGCAUUAUUUUGGUUGAAAAUUGACCAGAUUGCCCCAGGCAAGUUGGGGAACGACCUAGUAUAAGACAUUAGGGUGAGCUAGGCGGUUUAGGCUGUCAAACAGACAAAACAAUGCGAAUUGGCCAUUUUCAGGCCAAAUCGAUGUGCUAUAGCCCACGGUUUUUGGGGUGAAACUGGUGGUCGGGUGUGAUUUUGACUGAACAUCGAUUGGGCUACCCCAGGCAGGGUAGGGAGUUGCUAGUGUGGGUCAUUGGGGUGGGCAGGGCAGUUUGGAUGGUCAAACAGGUGAAACGAUGCAAAUGGACCAUUUUUUAGCCAAAUUGGUGUACUGUAGCCCAUAAUUAUUAGGGUAGGCCCAGGGGCUAGGCGUGAUAUUGGCCAAAAAUCUAUCGUGCUUCCCUAGGCAGGCAGGGGAGUGGCCUAUUAUAGGCCUUUGGGGUGGGCGAGAUGGUUUGGGUGGUCAAACAGGCAAAACGAUGCUAAUGGGCCAUUUUUGUACCAAAUAAAUGUGUUUUAUCCCACGGUUUUUGGGGUGGGCCUAGGGGCAAGACAUGAUUUUGGCUGAAAAUAAUCAGGGUGCCCCAGGCAAGUUGUGUAGAGGCCUAGUGUGGGCCAUUUGUGUGGGCAGGGUAGAUUGGGUGGUUAAACAGGUGAAACGAUGUGAGCAAACCAUUUUCGGACUAAAUUAGUGUGCUAUAUAGCCCAUGGGUUUUUGGGUGGGCCCCAAAGCUGUGCGUGAUUUUAGUCAAAAAUUGAUCGGGCUGUCCAGACAAGCUAUAGAGCGGCCUAAUGUGGGCCACUUGGUGCGCGGAGCAGUUUGGGUGGUCAAACAGGCAAAAUAGCACAAACGGAUCGUUCACAAGCAAAAUCAUUAAGUUAUAGCCCACAGUUUUUGGUGUGGGCCCAAGUGCCAGGCAUAAUUUUGGCAAAAAAUUGAUCUAGAUGCCUCAGGUAGGCUAGGAGCAGUAUAGUGUAGGCUAUUGGAGUUGGCAGGGCAAUUUGGGUGGUCGAGCGGGCGAAAUGACAUGAACGGGCCAUUAACAGGUCAAAUCGGUGUGCUAUAGCCCACAAUUUUUAGGGUGGGGCCGAAGGCUGGGCUUGAUUUUGGCCAAAAAUCGACUGGACUGCCCCAGGCAGGCUAGGGAGCGACUUAGUGUAGGUCAUUAUGUGGCCGGGGCAGUUUGGGUUGUCAAGCGGGAGAAACGGCGCAAAGGGGCCAUUUACGGGCCAAAUCUGUGUGCUAUAGCCCAUGGAUUUUGGGGUGGGCCUAAGCACUGCACGUAACUUUGGCCAAAUAUAGAUCGAGCUGUCUAGGUAGGCUGGCAGCGACCUAGUGUAGGCCAUUGGGGUGGGCAGGGCGAUUUGGGUGGUCAACCGGGCGAAACUCCCCAAGCAGGUCGUUUAUGGGCUAAAUCGGUGUGCUAGUGCCCAUGGUUUUCAGGGUGGGACAGGUGCACGAGCAUGAUUUUGGUCGAAAAUCGACUGGGCUACCCAAGGCAAGUUGGGGAGCAGCCUAAUGUGGACCAUUGGGGUGGACAGGGCGGUUUAGAUGAUCAAACGGGCAUAACGGCGCGAACGGAUCAUUUGCGAGCAAAAUCGGAGUACUACAGCCCACAGUUUUUAGGGUAGGCCUAGGGGCCGGGCGUGUUUUUUGUUUUAAAUCGACUAGGCUACCCCAGGCAUGCUAGGGACGACCUAGUGAAGGCCAUUGGGGUGGACAGGGCGAUUUGGGUGGUCAAGAGGGAGAGAAGGCACAAAUGGGCCAUUUUCGGGCCAAAUCGGUAUGCUAUAGCCCAUGGUUUUCAGGGUGGACCUAGGGGUCGGGAAUAAUUUUGACCUAAAAUCGACCGGGCUACCAUAGGCAGAUGGGGGAACGACCUAGUGUGAGCCACUAGGGUGGGAGGGGCAGUUUGGAUGGUCAAGAGGAUAAAUGGUGCGAAUGGGCUAUUUUUGGGCCAAAUUGGUAUGCUAUAACCCACGAUUUUUGAAUUUGGCCCUAGGGCCGGACAUGAUUUUGGUCAAAAAGUGUCCUGGGAAGAAAAUGGGAAUAUUAAUUAUUAAGAAUUUUAACUCACAACUUACUUUAUCCAGUUGAGAUUAUGAUAGAAAGAUAGAAAGAAUAUGAGUUAAAAGCUCCUCGAGUGGAGUCAGAAUUUUAACUUCAUGAGUUUAGAAGCAAAAUUAUCGGAUGUAACAUACUUUGCUUAAUUAUUAUUUGUUAUAGUAGUAUUUUUAAUUAAUUACUAGCUAAAUUAUAUAUUUUUACAGUAUGUACGAUGAAACAACAUACACUUUACAGUUGCAUGGCCCACGUAGAUAAUGAACUUAAACAAAUAUAUUUCUUGAAUAGGUAUUGUCAACUUAUGAUUUUAACUGAAUUUAAAUCAGUCAGCAAGUGAAAUUAGUCAGAGUUGUUGGAAGAGCAGGGAUACAACCAUUACCAUAGUGAAGUUUUUGAAUUACUGUGAGGGGAAAAAAGAAGGAUUUAUUAGAAAAUUGAACCCAAAGAUGAAAAAUGGUUGACAUGAAAAAGUGAUUGAUGAUGCAUUAGGAAUGCCAUCUUGGCAUCUAUGUGAAACUUAUAAUAAAGAGUUGUUGUGAAUUCGUAUUUGAUCGAGUAAAAAACUCUAUGAACUAAAGAAUUGAUCUGAUCGACUUGAAAAAAAAAAUAUACAUGUAAUUAAAUUAUUUACAAAGUUUCAAAAUGCAUAAUUAUUUAAGUAAAUUAUUAAAUUCUAUACCUAAAGUUGUCACAAUAAUGUACAUUAUUUCUCUUACAUCAAACUAUUGUUUGAUGGCAAUUACAUGUAGCAAAUGCUCCUAAAUGAAUGCACCAAUAGCAGAACAUGGCUACAUAAAUAAGAGAAAUUGGAGUGGGGUUGAGAAAUUAAUUUCCAUAUAUUUUUUCUUUCAUAUAACUGAAAAAAUCAAUUUAUGACUUGUUUAUGUGUUGCUUCAUUUUUUAAAUUAUCAGUUUUUUCAUGAUCAACUAUUUUGUAUGGUGAUUCUUUCUUUGCUAUCUGAUCGAUGUAAUAUAUAAAAGAAAAGUGUGUUUUAUUGUAACAAAAAUAAUUAACUCAUAUCAACUAAUUGAAGUUGUUGAAUAAUUCGAUAAGUUGAUUUUUUGAAGAAUGUUUGUCUUUAUUGUAACAAAUAUAGUUAACUCGUAUUAAUUAAUUAAAUUUGUUAACUAAUUAGAUAAGUCAAUUUUCCUAAUCAUGUUUUCUACAUAAGAUAUGAUUAGGGUCAUCUCUUCGGCUCGAUUAAAAUUAAAAAGAAAAUUUUGUUCUAUACUUUAUCAUAAUGAAAAUCAUAUCUUUCCUUUGUGUAUUAUUCGUCUUUUCUUCAGCCGACGAAAAAAAAAAUAUCCAAUUGCAAAUACCAUUUAACUAGUACAUGCUAAAAAGUAAAAACAAAUAUUCAUCUCAUGUUUAGCUCUAUUUCUGACAAUUAAUAUAAUAUUAAUAGUGCAAAAAAAAUUUCUAUACUUAUAAAUCAUUCAAAUAUGGUAUUUGUAUAUAUAUAUAUAUAUAUAAAAAAAAAUAUAUAUAUAUAAAUAUAUUGGAAGGUCCAUGCUAGCACGAGCUCAAUAUACGUUAUUUUUUUCAUUUAUCAAUAGUUGUUUAUGAUUAACUUGACACACAAGUUAAGAAAAUGUAAAUGAUAGGAUAAUGUUACUAUAUUAUUGUUCAGAAUAUAAUAAAUUUAAUGCUUUAAAAAAUAUUGAAUGAUUAAUUGUAUUUAAUAUUAAUGGUUAAAUAUGUGGAAAUUGAUAAACUAUCUAUUGAUUUUUUUAAAUUAGCGAAGUAUUAUUGGACAUGUAUAUAUUUUUUAGUAUAGUAAAUAAGUAAAAAUAAAUGGAUGGAGUAAUUGUCUCCAUUUAUGGUGACAUUUGGAAUUAACUAAAUUUUCUGUAUGUUUUUUAAAAAUAUUUAAAUUGUUAAUUAUUGUAAUUUAUAAUACUUUUUUUAAAAAGAAAAUUAUAUUAGUAUAUGUUUCUCUUUCUAUCCCCAUUUUUACGACAAAAUUAAAAGUUUAUCAUAUUUAAUGUGGAGGAUAUUCAACAUUAAAAAAAAUGUUGCUAAAAUAAUAGUCUCAAAUUAAGAGAGAUAAUGUUAAAUCAGUAAAAAUUGAUAAGUUUUUUUUCGAUCAACUUUGGACAAGGCCCAUUUUAUUAAUCACAUAAAAAAGGUUAUACAAAACAUACUCAAUUAAGCCCAAAAAGCAAAAUCCUAAACAAAAAAUCCAAGAUUUAGUGGGUCAAGACUCGGUCCAUUCUUGACCCUCUAUAAAUAUGACCUAAAGUAGGAUUUUCAAAAUAAGAACAGUCCAGCAACAUUCGCAAAUGGCGCCGCUGGAAGCUCAUUUCAAUGUCAGUUUUCUUUUGCUUCAUCUUUUGGUUAUUAAUCUUGUUAGAGAUUGUUUUAGUGACGAGCUCCUCUUGAUCAACUCGCAAAGGUAACUCAAUUGAUAAGUAAUUACUUUAUUAAUAAUAGAUUUAUCUGAGAUCAAUACACUGAGAUUUGUAAAUAAACUUGAAUGUUUUCCCUUAUUUUUUCGGUGACGACAAUCUUUUUCAUUACUAAAUUAAAAGCACCAAAACAUAAAAUACUCUUUCUUUAUAAAAUCAAACAGUUGAACAUGUAAGUUAUAGUAUAAUAGCUCUUGUUAAAUGAAUAAUGAGAUAGUGUGAAUGAGGAUGAUGAUUGAUGAUAUAAGCAAGAGGGUAAAUUGGUCCAAACAUGUAAAAGUUUAACAUGAAAGCUAUAGUAAAAUUCUUGGUUUACCAAUAAUAUUGUGUGAUUAUUGACAGCUUUACAAAAAUAUCCUUAUUGGGCCAUGUUGUUAAAGGUAGGACAAUUUUGACAAUCAGUUAAAAAUUAAUGAUUGUUUGGUCAUUUGAAGGUCUCAAUCAAUCAAUGAAGCACAUUGUUUUAAACAAGAUAUUGCAUAAAAAUUUAAGUAAAAUGAUCAGAAAACCCUCAACAAUAAACUUAUUACUCCAAGCACACAUGUCGACCAGUUGUGUAUGCUUAUUCCCUUUUAUUAUAGAGUAUAUAGAAAUGAUAACAUAGAUUAUUCGUAAAGUGCAUUAGUUGUGGUUAAAUGAUAGCCUAUAUUGUAUUAUUGAUGUUCUGAUCAAAUAUUAAUUGUUAUUUUUAAAUGUCUUUUUCACGUUUUAUUUCUUAGAACUUUUCUAACCAAAUCUCAAGAUAUAGUUUGGUCAAAUAAUAGUUUACAUUAAUUAUUCUUGAAAUCUUGAUCGAACAUUAAGUAUUGUUUUUAGAUGUGCUUUUUCACGUUUCACUUUUUUAGACUUUUCUGAUCAAAUUUCAGUAUAUAGUGUGGUUUAUAGUCCAUAUAAAUUAUUCUUGUACUCUUAAAAUCUUGAGCAAAUACUAAUUAUUAUUUUAAGAUGUGUUUUUUUAUGUUUCACUUUUUAAAAUUUUUCUACCUAAAUCUCAAGGUGUAGUGUGGUCAAAUAAUAACAUAUAUUAAUUAUUCUUGUAUUCUUGAAAUCUUGAUCAAAUACUAUCAUAUAGAUAGAUUUUUUUGUGAAAAUAAAUCAGCAAUAAUCUUCUCUAUAUAUUUUUCUACUUCACAAAAUUCUCUCACAUGAAAAACACUUCACACCAUCAUUUCAACUAAGAAGUUUAAUUUUUUUUUCAUAGUUUUAGUUGCACCAUAUUUUUUUGUUGUUUCAAAAAAAUCCCUUGUCACAUUUUGGAUAAUGUAUUCAUUGAAGAAGACACCGAUUUUAAAAGUACUUUCAAUCUUCAAAGAAAAAUAAUUGGUUCAAGAAAAAUAUUUUUCUUUUGUGCAAGAAAUUUUGAUCAAUUGUUAAAAAAGUUUCGAGGAAGAAAAAAGGACUAUUGAAGAAAAGUAUAAAAAGGUAAUAGAAGAGUACCUCAGAGACUAUAAGGAGAAAAUCGUUUUGUUUUAUGAGAGUAAGUGCAGAAUUAUUUAAUUCAUCAAUUCUCUCAUAUAGUAAAUCGUUUUCUCCUUAUAGUUCUUGAGACACUCUUCUGUUAUCAUUUUAUAGUUCUAUUUACUAGUUCUUUUUUCUUCCUCAAAACGUUUUCACAAUUCUUAGAAUUCCUUGUACAAAAGAAAAGUGUUUUUCUUGAACCAAUUAUUUUAUCUUUAAGAUUGAAAGUACUUUUGGAAUUGAUGUCUUCUUCAGAGAAUAUAUUAUUAAAGAUGCAAUUGGGGAUUUUUUUUAAAACAUCAAAAAAAAAAAAUUGCAGUACAAUUAAAAUUGUGAAAAAAAUUGAACUUCUUAAUUGAAAUGAUGGUGGAAAGCUUUUUUCACGUGAGAGGAUUUUGUGAAGCGGAAAAGGACACAAGAAGGAUUAAUGCUAAAUCAUUUUCAGGAAAAAAAUCUAUAUAUAGAAACUUAAGAAGUGGAAGAAGAAGAAAGUGUACUACAUACCUUGAAAUUUGGACAGAGAAGUUCAAAAAAGUGAAAUGAAAAAAACUUAUUUAAAGCAAUAAUUAGUAUUUGGUCUAGAUUUUAAGAAUACUAAAAUAAUUAGUAUAGGCUAUUAUUUGACCACCAUAUACCUUGAAAUUUGAUAGAUAAGUUUAGAAAAGUGAAAAGUGAAAAUCACAUCUAAAAACAAUAAUAAGUAUUUGAUCAAGAUUUCCAAAAUACAAGAAUAAUUAGUAUGCUAUUACUUGAUCAUACUAUACAUGAGAUUUACGCAGAAAAGUUCAAUAAAAUGAAACGUAAAAAAACACAUCUAAAGACAACAAUUAGUUUUUGAUCGAAAUUUCAAGGAUACAAAAAUAACUAAUAUAGGUUAUUGUACAAAAAUAAUUUCAAGGUAUGAUCGAUUUUCGUCAUGAUAAAGUAAAGAACGAGAUUGUCUUUCCAAUUUUCACUAAGCCAAAGAGAGGAUCCUAAUCACAUCUUACAUAGCAAACAUGCUUAAAGAAAAUGACUUAUCUAAUUAUUCAACAAAUUUAAUUAGUUGAUAUGAUUUAAUUAUUUUUGUUACAAUAAACAUACUUUUCUCUUUAUAUAUUACAUCAAUCAGUUAGCAAAGAAAGAAUCACCAUACAAAAUAGUUGGCCAUAAAAAAAAAGAUAAUUUAAAAAAUGAAGCAAGACAUAAACGAAUCAUAAAUUGAUUUUUUCAAUUAUUUGAAGAAAAAAAUGGAAAUUAAUUCCUCAAUCCCACUUCAAUUAUAUAGCCAUGUUCUUCUAUUAGUGCAUUCAUUUAGGAGAACUUAGUAUAUGUGAUUGUCAUCAAAUAAUAGCUUGAUGUAAGAGAAAUAAUGUACAUAUUGUGACAAUUUUUAGGUAUAGAAUUUGAUAAUUUACUUUAAAAAUAAUUAUUCUUUUUGGGUACUUGUAUUUCUCAUUAUUAAAAUUUAGAUAUGUAUUUUUUUCAAGUCGAUCUGAUUGAUUCUUUUGUUUGUAUAACUAUUUAUUCCAUCCGAGACAAAUUCACUAACAACUCUUUACUAUAAGUUUCACAUAGAUGCCAAGAUGGCAUUCCUAAUGCAUCAUCAAUCAUUUUUCUUGCUAGCCAUUUUUCAUCUCUUGGUUCAAUCUUCUAAUAAAUCCUUCCCUUUUCCCCUCCCAAUAAUUCAAGAACUUCAGUAUGGUCGUUGUAUCCUUGCUCUUCCAACAAGUCCAACCUAAUUUUACUGGCUCGACUGAUUCAUAUUCUAAUGUUCCACAUUCAGAUGAACUAGCCAAACUAGUAAUAUGCUUAAGCAUACAAUUCAGAAGAUUGGAUGGGGGCAUUACCUUGACCAUCCCAUAGCCAUAUAUGCGCCAUACCUUUUUGCAAUGCCAGAAACAUGUCACGCUUAUAAUUUGGACCUUCGAUAAUUGAAGGAAUUAUGUGUAUAACAAACUCAUGUUUGUUUUCUUGUGAAGACUUAACAAUGACGGACGAGUCAAAUUUUGACGAGACAGUCAGAGGAUGCCAUGUUUGACUCACUUCUUGAUCUGCUGUUGACUAGAAUAUAAUAAUCCUAAUGAUCAUUGAUAGGGUAAAGAAUAUUUUCAAUGAAUUUCCUAGUCCUCAGGAUUAAACGUGUCGCUUCAUUAUUUGAUAUGAAAAAAAGAUUGAAACUCUUACUUCCAAAUGUACCCGUACUGGCUUCAUUGACCAUGAUUGUGUCAAAACCUUUGGAGGCUUCAUAAUUUGCCCAUAAAGGAUACUACUCCAAUAAAAAUGACCAUAACAAGUCUAAGAAUUAUACUUGAAUUUGAAGAGGUAAAAUUGUGGUCAUUUUCAUAAGAAUAUUUUGUGGCUGUUUGUAUGAGAGGUUGAAGGAGAUGUUGGUUUUUUUCUUCCACAUAUGGUUAGAAAGAACAAGAAGUUAGAAAAUAG